UCCGGGGGCAGGAGGUUCGACUCGAGCGCAGCGAGAGAACGUUGCGUCAGCAACGGCCCGCAGGGCGAGCCACGCAGUGGCGAGUCAUCCUCUAUCACCGACCA
rnacentral:sRNA from 1 species